rnacentral:misc_RNA from 1 species
GCUUCCUUCUGUUUCUAUCGCUGAGGAAUGGAUACUAACAGGUGAUCCUAGUAAAGAUGAGGCCGUUCGUGCAGCACAUCGAUAUGAAAGUGCUCCUGAUAUUAUACUGUUUAAGGCUCUACUUUCAUUGUCUUCUGAUGAGUUGGUGUCUGCCAAAAGUGCUCUGGACUUGUGCAUGAAUCAGAUGAAGAAUGUGUUGAACUCACAUCAGUUACCUGAGAAUGCAUCCAUGGAAACAAUUGGUCGGGCAUAUCAUGCCACUGAGACAUUUGUACAGGGGCUACUUUAUUCUAGAUCCUUGUUGAGGAAGCUUGUUGGUG